rnacentral:lncRNA from 1 species
UUUGAGAAGUGUCUUGAAGAUUAAGAGUUGCCUCCAGGAGUAUAAAUAGACAUAAAUGAAGCAAAGACGAGAAAUCCUGGGAGUUGUAGCUCAGGAAGUUAAGUAGAAACACUGCAGAAGGGAAAGAUGGAGGGUGCGAGGGGCAUGACCAAGGCUGAGUCAGUUAAGUCUCUCUGAGGCCACCUAAAGAAAGAGGGAGCACACUUAGAACUGAUGCUUAAGAACUCAGGUCCUGAGCUCUGCCAGCUGCGCGCUGUGCAUAGAGAUGGCGCCUGUCUGAGAAAAGAGAGUCACAGACAGCACAGAAAAGCUUUAACUCAGCCAGGCCUGG